ACAAUAAAUCACCAAUUGUUCGCCAAAUAACUACGAGUAAAAACUUAAAAUUUAAAAGACUUGACGGUACCCCACAGCAACCUAGAGGAGCCUGUUCAACAACCGAUACUCCACGAUUAACCCAACCUCCCCUAGCCCGCCAGUCUAUAUACCGCCGUCGCCAGCCUACCUUAUGAAAGAAACAAAGUAAGCCAAAUAGCCACACACUAGUACGACAGGUCGAGGUGUAACUUAUGGGGGGGCCUAGAAUGGGCUACAUUAUCUAAGCUAGAUAACACGAAUAAACCAUGAAACAAGAAACUGAAGGCGGAUUUAGCAGUAUACCACGAAUAAAACACCUAGUCGAAGCUAACGCAAUGGGGUGCGUACACACCGCCCGUCAUCCC
rnacentral:rRNA from 1 species